CUGGAAUCACUAAUCAAGUUCAACCUGGACAAUUAACAAACUAGUCGCGUACAAAAAAUUGCAAAAUGUUGGUCCAAUACGUCUUCAUCGCAGUUCUUCUUGUAGCUGGGUUCCAAGCGGUCCCCACGAAACAAGAGGAAAAGAUUUUCUUCUUCAAUCUGCCAAUGUGGGGCAGUCAAGGCUUCAAUCUUAUUCCUCCAGUAUGCCGAUUCUGGGGACUUUUCUGUCCACCUGGUUAUACAAGACCGACCGGGACUACGCGACCCCAUCGGAAUCAUACAGCUUCCGGUUAAGCUAUAAAUACUCGGAAAAAUAUGAUACUAGUUAAAACGAAAAAUUGAUCUUAUUCGGAGUAAAUUGAAGCAAACAAUCUGCCUGCAUAAUAUCUAAUUUCACCAAAAGACUAAUGCUUGACAAUAACUUAUGUAAGUUCAAGGUUUUGUAUGACCAAAAAUUAUGUUAGCAUUAAAGUAUCAAAAGUUGUAUUUGUCUCAAAAUUGCCGUCACUUUAGAAAUUUAUUUACAUACAUUUAAAUACACAGGGGUAGAGCGAUAUUAAAACUCAAUUACAGAAAUA